GCCUCCUUAGCUCAGUGGUAGAGCACCUGCCUUGUAAGCAGGAUGUCGUCAGUUCAAUCCUGACAGGAGGCUCGA
rnacentral:tRNA from 1 species